rnacentral:ncRNA from 1 species
CUAACAUGUGCGCAAGUCAUUGGGUGUUACGAAACCUAAAGGCGUAAUGAAAGUGAAGGCAGCCUCGGGUUCUGCCUAGGUGGGAUCCUCGGUCCGUCGCGGCCGGGGCGCACCACCGGCCCGUCCCGUUCGCACUGCGUCGAAGGGGCGGAGCAAGAGCGUACACGUUGGUACCCGAAAGAUGGUGAACUAUGCUUGAGUAGGAUGAAGUCAGAGGAAACUCUGAUGGAGGUCCGCAGCGGUUCUGACGUGCAAACAGCCCGAACGGAAAAUAAAUAUUAGUUUAUAUUUGU